AAACUGCGAUAAGUAGUGUGAAUUGCAUUUAGUGAAUCAUCGAAUCUUUGAACGCACCCUGCACUCACUGGUAUUCCGGUGAGUAUGCCUGUUUCAGUAUCAUUGAAAACACACAAUCAAAACAUUUUCUUUGGUUUGAUUGGCUUUGGGUCUAUCAAAAAGUUUGGCUUGUUUCUUACAAGCCAAGCGGCCUGAAAUAUAUUGUCUAGCUAAUUGCAUCGUUGAUGAUCGCUAUUAGACUUUGGCUUUUUUAAAUGAACUGGAGGUUGAUUAACCAGUUUUAGCUUUAGUCAAAUGGUCAUUGUAAAAAAAAUCUCGAUCUUGGCUAGGUGUUUAUAGCCGAAAAUUUUUUUUUGGCUAUAACCGAAACCAAUAUAAUCACAUUUAGUUAUCGAUCUGAAAUCAGGUGGGACUACCCGCUGAACUUAAGC
rnacentral:misc_RNA from 1 species